CCUACGCGGCGCGUCUCUCUCUCUCUGAUGUGCUUUUUCGGUGCGAGUCGUGCGACAAAAGUCCGAGUAUCGCUUUCGCUCUCUCUCUCGGAGUCGAUUCAGAAGUUGGGGUUUUCAACAAAAUGAGAAGGCGUUUGAAGGCUGGAUAGUAGAGAUCGCUUAUUUUUUGAAAGAUCUUUCACCAGGAGAUUUUGAGCAGAAGUUUGGUUACUAGACAGAAAAGAAGCUAGGGUGAAGGGUUAAUUGGCUGUUAGUACUUUGAAAGGUCAGAGUUUCAGAGUUAUUCUUUGUAAACUUGAUUUGCCUGCUACCAUGUAUCAUCUCUGGUUUGAUGGAAAUCAAAGAGUGCUUAAAGAACAAGUCAAGAGUGAAGAAGGCUUGCUUCAAGCUGUUAAAAGAGAUGUUGGAAGUAGACUUGCUGCUAGAAGGAAGGUUAAAAACUAUAUUCAAAUAAUUUUUUUUCUACAGUCUUUGCUGCAUUUCCUUCUCUGUCUUUAAUGGGUCUUACUUGCUGUGAUUAGUUUAUGUAGUUGGUAUGCAGUUAUAGCUACUUGUUUAUUUGUGUAACUUGAGUUGCUUGUAUUGACAGAUGUAUUUCUUGUAUUUUGAAUUAAAUGAAGGCUUCUAAUUCAUCCGAGGGAAAUAAAGAAAGAAAUUGUUAAAAGGUUUCUGUGCUGAUUGUGAUUUUGGCCGAGGUGUCUUUGUCCUAUCAUCACACUUCAGGAUCUUGAAUACUAAAGAAUAAAAUGUGUAAUCCUCUACCUUUGUUGUGCACAUCUUUUGGGUAUGUAUCUGAUGCUGGGUGUGUUUGGUGCUUGUCUCAAUUUCAUGUUCUUAUCAUGUAUGGCAAUAAUUGAAUGAAUUUGUAGCAGACUCAACAUGAUCUGGUCCUCUUCAAGGUUAUUCUUAGAUUGACAUCAAAGUUACUUCUGUUACUAGUUCUGUAAUGUUCACAACUGACACUUGUGUGUCCUUAUGUUCGAAUCCCUUGGUGUUCAAUGUGUUUGGUCUGAGUUUAAAGAAAUAUCGUUUCUACUACUGAAUUGGUAUGCUCAAUUAAAAUAAACUGAAUUUUAAUCCAGGAUAUCUGAUCUCUACUGUUUUUACUAACUCUCACUAAACCUGACAUCUGCUAUGCCAUCAAUCAAGUUUAUCAGUUCAUGCACACUUUCACCCUGUGCUUGUCCAGGCUGUAAAACACAUCUUACCAAAAGUGUGUGCAUGUUUGCAAAUUCCUAUGCAACACUAUUACAGUUGUUAUUUUAGACUCUUAGUUUGUUUUGUUACUCUGCUCCUUUGUAUCCUAUUGGGAUCUGCCAUUUUCAAUCAGUCAUAAAACACUACCAAUUUACUCUAGCUGCAACUGUGCAGUUUUUGCAACUCUCUCUCUCUCUCUCUCUCUCUCUCACACACACACACACACACACACUCACAGAUGCUAGCAUGCUCUAUAUACUGUACACAUGAUGGCUAUGAAGACAUACGGACCCACAUGCAAUGCCUACGAAUAACAUAUUGUCUGUUGACUGGUCCAGUUUAAUCUUUGUGCAUUUAUACUAGUAUAUGCUUUUCCUGUGAUUGGAUUUCAAUUGUCAGAGUCAUUCCGUAAAGUAGAUAUGCACACAGCUAGAUGCUCUGGCAGACUGCCCAAUGUGUUUUGAUUGCUUUAAACUUUGCUAAGGUGAUUUUGGUUCACAGGAUUCAUAACUAAAGACGUUCGUUGGUAGAUUUGUUCUGGAGUGAAUUUGUAAUCUCAUGGCUGAUAACCAUGUUUGAGAAGUAGUAUCAGCACUUGAUUUACUGGAACACAUGACAAAAUUACAUGGAAUGCGGUCCAGAGAAUCUCCAAAGUAGUUCUAUGAACACUUGUUGUGGAAUAGAUAUUAGCGAGGAAAGUCAUACAUCUUUGAUAAUAUAACUGUGCCUUCAUCUAUUUGGUACUCUGGAGAUGGUCGUUUUUGACACCCAUGAGUACCUGAAGCAAAGCUUAUAUUGUGCCUCUGAUUGCAUCUAUGUUCUAGAUGAGGAUUAAGUGAAUUGGAGGAAGGAAGGAUUAAGAAGUUUGUUUAUGGUUAAGUAGCUGAGGCCGUUGAACAAAGCUGAGAUUGAGCCUCUGAUUGCGUCUAUGUUCGUAGUUGAGAAUUAAGUGAAAUGGAGGAAGACAAAGGAUUAAGAGCUUGAUGAUGAUUAGGUAAAGAAUAUGGGGGGUGAUUGUAAAAUUGAUAUGAACAAGAAAGCUUUAGGAGAAAGUGAAGAAAAUCUUGACACUUUUUGGAUGGUUCAUUUAGUCUUAUGCCUUAGUUUUGGAAACUGGCAAUACUUGUGAAAAAGAUGAUGUUCAUUAUGAGAAAUCAAUUGAAGGAUCAAAGCAGGAGGGCACAUUCACUUGGAUGGAAAUUAAAGAACUGGAGCGACUAAACAUGGAGAGGCAGCGAGCUCGCUGGACCUGCCUCAGGUAGACUGCUCAUCACCAUGCUAGAUGGGCAGGUGAUGAGCAGUUCCUUGAUGACUUCCAAUUAUGGUUUAGGAGGUUUUCCCUUGAGUUCCAUGCAUGUUUCCAGGAACAGUUUUCCCCUUUCAGAUAUAUAAUCUUUAGGAAUAAAUGGUCUCUGAUAUUUUAAAAAGAAGUAAAGUCCCUUUCAUUCUAACCGUCUCCCCCCCUCAAAAAAGAAAAAGAAGAGGCUAUCAAUGCUUUCUAUUUGCCCUAAUUAUGUAUCAAUUUUAACAGCACUGGAGCUCUGUGGUUGACCUGCACUAAUUUGGUGACUUGACAGAAUAGUUUCAAAAACUAAAUCUGUUUGUUCUUUUACAAUUACUCUACUGAUUGGAAUAUGAACUUUUGCUGCAGCUAACACUGGAU